rnacentral:rRNA from 1 species
UACGAAGGGGGCUAGCGUUGUUCGGAAUCACUGGGCGUAAAGCGCAUGCAGGCGGAUCGUUAAGUCGGGGGUGAAAUCCCGAGGCUCAACCUCGGAACUGCCUUCGAUACUGGCGAUCUUGAGUCCGGGAGAGGUGAGUGGAACUGAGAGUGUAGAGGUGAAAUUCGUAGAUAUUCGCGAGAACACCAGUGGCGAAGGCGGCUCACUGGCCCGGUACUGACGCUCAGGUGCGAAAGCGUGGGGAG